GUAGGAGCCGGCUUGCUGGCGAUCAAUUCACCUCGGUUUUCCUGGUGGACCGAGGUGUCUGGAUCGCCAGCAAGCCGGCUCCUAC
rnacentral:antisense_RNA from 1 species